rnacentral:ncRNA from 1 species
GGGUUCGAGUUGGAGCACGCCUGUCGGGACCCGAAAGAUGGUGAACUAUGCCUGAGCGGGGCGAAGCCAGAGGAAACUCUGGUGGAGGCCAGAAGCGAUACUGACGUGCAAAUCGUUCGUCUGACUUGGGUAUAGGGGCGAAAGACUAAUCGAACCAUCUAGUAGCUGGUUCCCUCCGAAGUUUCCCUCAGGAUAGCUGGAGCCCAUUACGAGUUCUAUCAGG